rnacentral:rRNA from 1 species
UACGUAGGGAGCAAGCGUUGUCCGGAAUUAUUGGGCGUAAAGAGCUCGUAGGCGGUUUGUCGCGUCGGGAGUGAAAUCCACUGGCUUAACUGGUGGCUUGCUUUCGAUACGGGCAGACUGGAGGUAUGCAGGGGAGAACGGAAUUCCUGGUGUAGCGGUGAAAUGCGCAGAUAUCAGGAGGAACACCGGUGGCGAAGGCGGGUCUCUGGGCAACAACUGACGCUGAGGAGCGAAAGCGUGGGGAGCGAACAGG